rnacentral:rRNA from 1 species
UCCUACGGGACGCAGCAGUGAGGAAUAUUGGUCAAUGGCCGAAAGGCUGAACCAGCCAAACCGCGUGAAGGAAUAAGGCCCAACGGGUCGUAAACUUCUUUAGUCAGGGAACAAAGGCAGCCACUCGUGGCGCUGUGAGUGUACCUGAAGAAUAAGCAUCGGCUAACUCCGUGCCAGCAGCCGCGGUAAUACGGAGGAUGCGAGCGUUAUCCGGAUUUAUUGGGUUUAAAGGGUGCGUAGGCGGUUUGUUAAGUCAGCGGUAAAAAUUCCGGGCUCAACCCGGUCGCGCCGUUGAAACUGGCGGG